UGGACUCACCACACCUACUAUACAAGGACCCACUUCACCUAAGAUUCUCUGACAAGGACCCUAAAGGAGUUUAGAAGCCAAAUGACUGGGAUCAUCAACUCCAGUGACAGAGCUGCAUGUCUUUUAGCAGUGUUGCAGAAAUGAGCAUGGAGAGGGAAUAGGAAAGGGGAGAGGUGUCUUUGUGGCAACGAGUGACUCUUCUCUAGUUAUCUCCUGGUUGCUGGGUUUUCCCCCCUGCACUUUCUUUUGCAGUUGAAAGGAAGAUGAUUGUUUGAAAAUUAUUAAUAAAUCCUCCUUUUUUCUUCUUCUUCUCUUUUUUACCCUUCCUCCCACCCCCCUUGAUGUGGCCUCUUGUUUAGCUUGUGGCGUGACCAUGAUGAAGAAAUUUUUCUGGGAGCCUGGCAGUGUGAUCUUUUUAUGUAAUGAGUCAGGAUUUUGCCAAGGGAAGAAGCAAGGUUUGAGGAUUGAGUGUCUGUCUCCUUUCAAGAAGAAAACUGACAGGCGAGAUGCACCUUUUUCCCAGGAUCCUUUUUUCCCCUCCCCACCUCACAGGAAUGACAAGUGGCAUUUUUGAAAAUUUUCGCUGAAGGAUCUUAACCAAAGAAAAAAGUACUGUAAAGGUAAAGAAAUUAAAAAUUUAUAAGUUCUUAAUUGUAGAUAUAUGACUUGCAGUAGUUAAUAAGAUUACAAACAAACAG
rnacentral:lncRNA from 1 species